rnacentral:rRNA from 1 species
GGCAGCAGCCAUAUCAUCCUGCAGCCCACUGAAGCUCAGCAGGUGUGAGCCUGGUCAGUACCUGGAUGGGAGACCUCCUGGGAAAAACUAAGGUUGCUGUUGGAA